rnacentral:rRNA from 1 species
UUGGAGGGCAAGUCUGGUGCCCGCAGCCGCGGUAAUUCCAGCUCCAAUAGCGUAUAUUAAAGUUGUUGCAGUUAAAAAGCUCGUAGUUGAAUUUCGGGAUUUGUCGGUUGGUCGGGCUUCACUGUCCGCACUGGCCUGAUGGAUUCCUACCUUCUGAACAACCAGCAUGCUAUUAAGUUAGUGCGUUGGGGAAGCAGAGCUAUUACCUUGAAAAAAUUAGAGUGCUUAAAGCAAGCUUGUGCUUGAAUAGAUUAGCAUGGAAUAAUAAAAUAGGACGGCAUGGUUCUAUUUUGUUGGUUUCUAGGAUCACCGUAAUGAUUAAUAGGGAUAGUUGGGGGCAUUAGUAUUCAAUUGUCAGAGGUGAAAUUCUUGGAUUUAUUGAAGACUAACUUCUGCGAAAGCAUUUGCCAAGGAUGUUUUCAUUAAUCAAGAACGAAAGUUAGGGGAUCGAAGACGAUCGGAUACCGUCGUAGUCUUAACCAUAAACUAUGCCGACUAGGGAUCGGACGAUGUUAAUUUUUUAAUGACUCGUUCGGCGCCUUACGGGAAAC